CUCUCUCUCUCUCUCUCUCUCUCUCUCUCUCUCUCUGACAGCAUCUUUCUCUGUUGACCAGGGCCCGGCUCCUCAGGCGGCAAGGUGCUCCGGCGUGCCCCUGCUGAUCUCCUGCUCGUGGAACAACUACAUCAGCAGGAACACAUGCUGCAUCUGGUUUUGGUUCCCCUCCCUCCCACAAUUGCAUCUUCAGAACACCUGCAUCACACAUAUACACACAGUGCUCAGGGUUCAUAAAAAGGGGAACACCGCACCCCGCACACACCGCCGACCGAAUUCCCACCGUACUGCCUGGGCAGCGCUGGCGCCGUUGUGCGUGGGGAAACCAGCACUGUACCAUGGUUUAUCUACACUCUUCUCAGCCUGGGAAUCAUCAUGUGCUUGCUGACCUGCUCUGGCCACAUCGCCGCUGAAACUGCAAACAGCCCCUGCCUGUCUUGUGACGUGAUCUUUGUAUUCUUGCUUGUGAUACUCGAAGCUGCAAUCGCCGCCGAUGUAUUUCUGAAUAGCUACUGGGAGGAGGACAAAUCCCACCAGACUUGGCUCUAAUUGAAGUUAUCAUAAGAGUUUGCAUCGUGGAUGCCGUUGACGGUGGGCAUACAUGCUAUAGUGGAGCUCAUUGCAUCUUUGAGCUUCAUGCUUUGUGUGAACUUGGAACUCGUGCUUUUGUUUGUGAACCUUGUUGGAUAUGUACGCAUGUGUGGACUCGGAACUUAUGGUCCUUUUUUUUUGCGAACUAUU